UACGUAGGGUGCAAGCGUUGCCCGGAUUUAUUGGGCGUAAAGGGCGCGUAGGCGGCUCUGCACGUCCGUUGUGAAAUCGCCCGGCUCAACUGGGCGGGGUCAGCGGAUACGGCAGAGCUUGAGCAAGCUAGGGGGCAAUGGAAUUCCCGGUGUAGUGGUGGAAUGCGUAGAUAUCGGGAGGAACACCAGUGGCGAAGGCGGUCUGCUGGGCAGUAGCUGACACUGAGGCGCGACAGCGUGGGGAGCAAACAGG
rnacentral:rRNA from 1 species